GGUUAAGCGACUAAGCGUACACGGUGGAUGCCCUGGCAGUCAGAGGCGAUGAAGGACGUGCUAAUCUGCGAAAAGCGUCGGUAAGGUGAUAUGAACCGUUAUAACCGGCGAUGUCCGAAUGGGGAAACCCAGUGCAAUUCGUUGCACUAUCGUUAACUGAAUACAUAGGUUAACGAGGCGAACCGGGGGAACUGAAACAUCUAAGUACCCCGAGGAAAAGAAAUCAACCGAGAUUCCCCCAGUAGCGGCGAGCGAACGGGGAGCAGCCCAGAGUCUGAAUCAGCUUGUGUGUUAGUGGAACGGUCUGGAAAGUCCGACGGUACAGGGUGAUAGUCCCGUACACCAAAAUGCACAGGUUGUGAACUCGAAGAGUAGGGCGGGACACGUGGUAUCCUGUCUGAAUAUGGGGGGACCAUCCUCCAAGGCUAAAUACUCCUGACUGACCGAUAGUGAACCAGUACCGUGAGGGAAAGGCGAAAAGAACCCCGGCGAGGGGAGUGAAAAAGAACCUGAAACCGUGUACGUACAAGCAGUGGGAGCACCUUCGGGUGUGACUGCGUACCUUUUGUAUAAUGGGUCAGCGACUUAUAUUCUGUAGCAAGGUUAACCGUAUAGGGGAGCCGCAGGGAAACCGAGUCUUAACUGGGCGUUAAGUUGCAGGGUAUAGACCCGAAACCCGGUGAUCUAGCCAUGGGCAGGUUGAAGGUUGGGUAACACUAACUGGAGGACCGAACCGACUAAUGUUGAAAAAUUAGCGGAUGACUUGUGGCUGGGGGUGAAAGGCCAAUCAAACCGGGAGAUAGCUGGUUCUCCCCGAAAGCUAUUUAGGUAGCGCCUCGUGAAUUCAUCUUCGGGGGUAGAGCACUGUUUCGGCUAGGGGGUCAUCCCGACUUACCAACCCGAUGCAAACUACGAAUACCGAAGAAUGUUAUCACGGGAGACACACGGCGGGUGCUAACGUCCGUCGUGAAGAGGGAAACAACCCAGACCGCCAGCUAAGGUCCCAAAGUCAUGGUUAAGUGGGAAACGAUGUGGGAAGGCACAGACAGCCAGGAUGUUGGCUUAGAAGCAGCCAUCAUUUAAAGAAAGCGUAAUAGCUCACUGGUCGAGUCGGCCUGCGCGGAAGAUGUAACGGGGCUAAACCAUGCACCGAAGCUGCGGCAGCGACACUAUGUGUUGUUGGGUAGGGGAGCGUUCUGUAAGCCUGCGAAGGUGUGCUGUGAGGCAUGCUGGAGGUAUCAGAAGUGCGAAUGCUGACAUAAGUAACGAUAAAGCGGGUGAAAAGCCCGCUCGCCGGAAGACCAAGGGUUCCUGUCCAACGUUAAUCGGGGCAGGGUGAGUCGACCCCUAAGGCGAGGCCGAAAGGCGUAGUCGAUGGGAAACAGGUUAAUAUUCCUGUACUUGGUGUUACUGCGAAGGGGGGACGGAGAAGGCUAUGUUAGCCGGGCGACGGUUGUCCCGGUUUAAGCAUGUAGGCUGAUUGUCCAGGCAAAUCCGGAUAAUCAAGGCUGAGGUGUGAUGACGAGGCACUACGGUGCUGAAGUAACAAAUGCCCUGCUUCCAGGAAAAGCCUCUAAGCAUCAGGUAACAUCAAAUCGUACCCCAAACCGACACAGGUGGUCAGGUAGAGAAUACCAAGGCGCUUGAGAGAACUCGGGUGAAGGAACUAGGCAAAAUGGUGCCGUAACUUCGGGAGAAGGCACGCUGGUGUGUAGGUGAAGUCCCUGCGGAUGGAGCUGAGACCAGUCGAAGAUACCAGCUGGCUGCAACUGUUUAUUAAAAACACAGCACUGUGCAAACACGAAAGUGGACGUAUACGGUGUGACGCCUGCCCGGUGCCGGAAGGUUAAUUGAUGGGGUUAUCCGUAAGGAGAAGCUCUUGAUCGAAGCCCCGGUAAACGGCGGCCGUAACUAUAACGGUCCUAAGGUAGCGAAAUUCCUUGUCGGGUAAGUUCCGACCUGCACGAAUGGCGUAAUGAUGGCCAGGCUGUCUCCACCCGAGACUCAGUGAAAUUGAACUCGCUGUGAAGAUGCAGUGUACCCGCGGCAAGACGGAAAGACCCCGUGAACCUUUACUAUAGCUUGACACUGAACAUUGAGCCUUGAUGUGUAGGAUAGGUGGGAGGCUUUGAAGCGUGGACGCCAGUCUGCGUGGAGCCAACCUUGAAAUACCACCCUUUAAUGUUUGAUGUUCUAACGUUGGCCCCUGACCGGGGUUGCGGACAGUGUCUGGUGGGUAGUUUGACUGGGGCGGUCUCCUCCCAAAGCGUAACGGAGGAGCACGAAGGUUAGCUAAUCCUGGUCGGACAUCAGGAGGUUAGUGCAAUGGCAUAAGCUAGCUUGACUGCGAGCGUGACGGCGCGAGCAGGUGCGAAAGCAGGUCAUAGUGAUCCGGUGGUUCUGAAUGGAAGGGCCAUCGCUCAACGGAUAAAAGGUACUCCGGGGAUAACAGGCUGAUACCGCCCAAGAGUUCAUAUCGACGGCGGUGUUUGGCACCUCGAUGUCGGCUCAUCACAUCCUGGGGCUGAAGUAGGUCCCAAGGGUAUGGCUGUUCGCCAUUUAAAGUGGUACGCGAGCUGGGUUUAGAACGUCGUGAGACAGUUCGGUCCCUAUCUGCCGUGGGCGCUGGAGAAUUGAGGGGGGCUGCUCCUAGUACGAGAGGACCGGAGUGGACGCAUCACUGGUGUUCGGGUUGUCAUGCCAAUGGCACUGCCCGGUAGCUAAAUGCGGAAGAGAUAAGUGCUGAAAGCAUCUAAGCACGAAACUUGCCCCGAGAUGAGUUCUCCCUGAGACUUUAAGUCUCCUGAAGGAACGUUAAAGACGAUGACGUUGAUAGGCCGGGUGUGUAAGCGCAGCGAUGCGUUGAGCUAACCGGUACUAAUGAACCGUGAGGCUUAACCUU
rfam:Klebsiella pneumoniae subsp. pneumoniae MGH 78578, complete sequence.